UUUACCAAUAUAUUGAAUUUGUACAGUAUAUUUUCCUGUCUGCCUUAAUCCUGUUUUGCUCUGGGCGUACAUUGGAUGAUCCAGUUUAGAUAGUAUAAAAUUAGAGUUAAUUUGUUUAAAUAUUACUUUCUGGUGUUUUAAAGCUUUGUCACUGCAGAUAACUCAGAUUGGGCAAUAUACGUAUUGGAUUUUAAUAGACAUUUACAGUUAUAAUAAAUACUCUUAAAAUCUUAGCAUUUUUAGGCUGUUUUGCUGCAGGUACGGCCCAACCCGCUCAGAAUUCUGUACUUUGCUAUUUCUGCGAUCCCAUAGGCAAUAUUAAUAUACAGAGUUGUUCCGAACCCGGAAAUAGUCUGGUUCCAAUGAAUUGCUCUAUUGAUUCUGAAAAGCUCAGAGUUGGCUGCUAUUCUGAAUUUCUAAAUUACAAUAAUGCUACUAUAAAUAAUGAACCGUAUGACUUGACCGGAAUAUACAGAGGAUGUUUUCCUCUUAGUAUUGAAGAUAAUAGCUAUAUGGAUCAUUGCAGUCAUAAUCCCACAGGGAACGUUAUCCGAGUGUCUUGCCAAACAUGUAAUGUUUCUGGAUGCAACACUCAUACAUUCGAUAGUAAUGGACUAAUAACAGGACCCGGAACAGGCCCAAUAGUCGUCAAUCGAGCAGUCAACAUUCUUCCUUCUCUCUCCAUAAUUACCUCAGGAUUAAUGGUCUCUUAUAUGAAGCUAAUUUUUAUAGCGAACGCUUAAACAAUUUAAAAAACUGAAAACUAAUAUCUUAAGAAAUACAUUCCAGUAUCAGCAAUGGAUUUUACUUAUUAUUUGAUUAUUUCUUUAGUUUUAGAACCAGUUUAGUGAAUUGAAAUAAAAAUGCUUGUAAGCUAAAGCGAAAA
rnacentral:lncRNA from 1 species